CGGGCCAUAGCGCAGCUUGGUUAGCGCGUUCGUCUGGGGGACGAGAGGUCGUGAGUUCGAAUCUCACUGGCCCGACCA
rnacentral:tRNA from 1 species